GGCAUAUUCAGAACUCCGAACAAAUUGAUUUCUAGUUUAUUUUAUACGCUCAGUGUCUACAAAGCUUGAGGAAGAAUGUAAACCAUAGUAAGCAACUUGAAAUAGGUGGGAGUGAUGCAACUGGGGUUGAAAGCAGACUGGAUGAGACCGUUGUCGGAACCUAACGGGUGGUGGGAAACAAAGAAGCCUUGUUCAUUUCUAGGUAGGUUUGAUUAAACUUUUAUUAUCAUUUGCGGAUUAGUGCUCUAAGUCACUUUGAUGUUAAAGAAUAGUGGGUGGUAAUGAGGCUAUUUUGAAUGUUGAGUAGCUGGGUCUAAAACACUUGAAGUUCUGGUCUUCCUUUACCAAGCGCAAACACCUCAAUAGAGAGGAUAAAAGGGAACCAGCAAAAGAUAGGAAAAGUUCCUCAUUGAAAUUGACAAAAACAUAGAAAGAAUUUAAAGAAACUAGAGGAUGAAGGAAAAGGAAGAAAGAUGAAGAGGGAGCAAAGAACCAAGGAAGCUACGCGAAAAAAGAACAAGGAGAUGAGCAGGGAGGAGGAAGCGACAACUCCUCCCUAGAUCCAGAUCUGUUUUGAAAGUGUUUUUCCAGAGAGUGUGUAGAAAGAGAGAAAGAGUUUUAUAGCAAAACAGUAAAUUGAAAUGAGAGCAUAACUUCUAAUGAUUUGGAAAAAUAAAUUGAGAAGUGCAAGUUAAUAAGGACCUUUUUACGCUCAUUUUCCAACCCAAGGCAAAGCGAGAAGAUGUGAAGUACAGUACCCGUGGGAAGCAAACCUGGAGACAACAAGCACAAUACCAUCACACUUUCCCUACGAUUUUGCUAAGCAUUAAUUACUGAAUUUCUUAGCAGAUUGUUAUUGUGAACUUAGUCCAUUUUAAGGUUUAGAGAUAAAAUGCAUAAAUAAGAAAGAAAGUGCAGGACUAUUAAAGUAAACUAUACUUUUAAUAUAAAAAAAAUAAAAAAACAAAAAGAGCACAUUUUUUUUUAUAAGUAACGUUCUUG
rnacentral:misc_RNA from 1 species